rnacentral:rRNA from 1 species
GAUGAACGCUGGCGGCGUGCCUAAUACAUGCAAGUCGAGCGAACAGACGAGGAGCUUGCUCCUCUGACGUUAGCGGCGGACGGGUGAGUAACACGUGGAUAACCUACCUAUAAGACUGGGAUAACUUCGGGAAACCGGAGCUAAUACCGGAUAAUAUAUUGAACCGCAUGGUUCAAUAGUGAAAGAUGGUUUUGCUGUCACUUAUAGAUGGAUCCGCGCCGCAUUAGCUAGUUGGUAAGGUAACGGCUUACCAAGGCAACGAUGCGUAGCCGACCUGAGAGGGUGAUCGGCCACACUGGAACUGAGACACGGUCCAGACUCCUACGGGAGGCAGCAGUAGGGAAUCUUCCGCAAUGGGCGAAAGCCUGACGGAGCAACGCCGCGUGAGUGAUGAAGGUCUUCGGAUCGUAAAACUCUGUUAUCAGGGAAGAACAAAUGUGUAAGUAACUAUGCACGUCUUGACGGUACCUAAUCAGAAAGCCACGGCUAACUACGUG